GCCCCUGUCACCCUUUUUAAAAAGAGCAGGGGAAAAAGUGAUUUAACAAAAAAAUAGGGAAAGAAGAGACAAGUCCUCCUACCCUUCCUGACUCAUGUGUUUAGUUCUAGUGUUUUAAGAAGGAUACUGACAAAUUUGUGCAAAUCCAAUUAAGAGCAACCAGGGGAAUUGUGAAAAGGCUUAAAACCACAUCCUGUAAGCAACAGUUGAAAGCACUAGGAAUAUGGCUUCUGAGGAUGAGAAGCUGUGGCCGGAGGAGUUAGAGGGAUAGGCAGUUCAUGCUGCCUAAGGCUUCUCCUGACUCCCAGAAUAGAUUUCAUCUGUCCCAAAUAUUGAACAGGGAGGCAGUGCGGAGGUUUAAUAGUUCACUGGCCUUGAUUUUACAAGUCCUAUGACUAAAUCUCCGCUCAACCUUUAGGAGUUAGGUCACCUUGGGCAAGUCUCUUGGACUCUCCCGCUUUGCUUCCUUUAUAAACAGAAAUAAUACAACCCACACUGACUUCUGGGAUUAUUGGAAAGCUUUGCAACCUGUAAGAUGCCACAUAAACACAAGUUUCUGUUUUUGUGGGAUAA
rnacentral:lncRNA from 1 species